UAAAGAAAACAACUCCCCUCGACUGCAGCAGGAAAUCACUGUUUGGAUUUAUGAGGCACCUCUUCCUGACCAUCCUCUCUGAAAAAGCCUUUGCUAGAUUGACAUGGCUGCUCCAUUCCCGACUCCUGCUGGGAGAAUCUGGACAACGGGAGCUUGGAGAAUAAGAACUAUGAGCAAAUAAUUUGGAGGCUAAAGGUGGAGCAAGGUUUCUAUAAUUCUCAUUGAUUAAGGACACUUUGGAGAGGAAUCUGGAGCUGUAUAAAUCUGCAAUGGACGGACUGGGAUGGGGACACACAGACUUAAGUCAGAAGGGGAUCUACAGAGAAUGGAAGGAGAUUUAAGGGGCUAACCUAUGUCUACUGUAGUGAAUGGGAAAUUCUCUCCAUUGACCUCACUGGAUCAAUCACCAGAGAGCAACGUACAGGACCCUUCCAAGGCUCAAGCAAAGAUCUGUGGGGAUUGUGCUGAUCUCUGGCAAUGCUGGAAUAAGUGUGAUCUCUCCUGUGCGACACGGCACCUUGGGACCCAGUGCUCAAAAC